UUGAACACUAUAAAAAUAGUUUUAACUUUAAAUUUAAUAUUAUUUGAAAAUUAGUAGUUUAUUAAAAUUAAUUAGUAAGAGUAAUUUUAUAUCUUUUAUAAGUAUUCAUCUUACUUUUAAAAAACAAAUUGAAUUUUCAGCCCAAUUUUUAUAAGAAACUAGAGCCUAAUUUUGAAGCUUAAAUCCUGUUAGCCCAUACCCCAUUUCCCUUUAAGGAGAUAAAAGAAUCAUAGAUCCUUCUUCUUCCUUAGAGAAGACCCUAAGACUACAACACAAACCCUUGAACCCCUAGUUCUAAGAGACAACAGCUGUCGCUGCCUCCAUCCGCCUUCACCACGCCGCUGCCGGACAGACCCCAUCUCCAGUCAACCACCCUCCCACAGCCCUUCUUCUGAACAUCAGCGACAAGAAGAGACGCGGGAGCUGACCCUUUUUUCUUCUUCUUCUGAACACGAACCCUAAAAACCUUCAAAAAACAAUACGCACAAGAAGACCUUCCCCUCUCUCCAAUUAAAAAAUGGAUUCCACACCUUCAGAGAACCACAUUCCAGCAGAACCCUUCUUCUUCACCAGGCCUACACACCGCCGCACACCAUCAAUGCCUUGACUCCCAAAAUCAGUCGUCCGCCACAAAAGAGAGGAGCACUUCUUUGAAAUUGAUAGAACCUCAGAGGGCAAGCAAUAAUUUCCUGUCCAAAGAAAAACUAUAAAGAGAGGACUAAGGGGAGGGAACAAUUCAUUCUCAUGAAUGAUACAAAACAAAACAGAAGCCAAGAAGGAGUUUAGAAAUAGUUUUCAACCAGCAAAUAGCAACAAACAUCCCUCGGUUAGAACCUCAUCAUUCCUACCAACAUUCUUUGCAUAUUGCUUUUGGAAUUUUGGAGUGUGAAAAUUACUAAUAUUGCCAACUCAACUUUUAUUUGCGGACAAAAAUUCUGCUACUACGACACCACUGUCAAACUGUUGGAAGGGAUAGAGCAAGAUUCUUGUUAGCGGAAACUAUUUCCAUAAAAUUCAAAUUCAUUCCAACAUUCAGAGAGUUUUCCACUAUGUUUUCAGGUUACGAUCCGGGGUUCCGAUAGCAAUCUACUUUCCUGGUAGCACGGAGAUUUUAUUUCCAGUGAGGUCCAUUUCUUAACUUUGUUUUUUAAUUAAUUUUCAAUCUUCCUCCCUAUGUGUUUUGAUAUGCAAAGAAAUUCUGCUUGAUUUUUAGCUCACCCAAUUGUGUGCAUUUGAGGUUUUAUCUUGCAUUUGCGUGCUAAAUGUUUACUGACGUCUGAUUUCUUAGACAAGCAAAGGUACUUAGUUGAUUAAUGACAAAUUGAUUUGGGGCCGGGGUUUCAACAAUAUAAGACAACUAAAAAAAUUGGGUUGGAAAUGAGUAUGUUACUUUACUUUUUUUGUUUUAUUUUUAUUAUAUUGUUUGCUAGGAGCAUGACUAGGCCGUUAAUUUUCUGUUAGGCAAACUUUACGAUUUUUUAUUUCUUUUCUUUUAUUUGAGGUGAGAGGUCCCCACCUUUAGUUAAAAUUUUUCGGGGAAUGCCCCGAAGGAUUUGAAGAUAUUUAUUUUGGGGAAUGCCCCGAAGAAUUUUGUAAACAUUUUGGAGGCCUUGACGAGCAUUGAGGAGGUGCAUAUAGAUUUGUAGCAUUUUUAUUUUUAUUUUAUUUUAUUUUAUUUUAUUUUAUUUUAUUUUCCUUUAUUAGGUGGAGACAACCUCGCUUGUGUACAGUUUUCUUUUUUGUAUUUAUUUUUACCUGGAUUUGAAUAUUUUAAAAGAUAACUUGAUUGAGUACGCAACCGUAGUAGUUACGGGACUUGGGGAAUGCCUAACACCUUCUACUCGAGUCAAAUGAACUCCCUUACCCCAAUCUCUGGUGUAGACUUAGUUUUGGAGUCCAAAGUUGUGACGACCCAAAGACUCAUCACCAGUGUUCUUACUCGUUCUGUGUGUCAAGGCCUUAAAACCCCGUUUAGGGUUGCUUCGAUUUGCGUGUGCAGUCCAAACACAUAGUUGAAAAGCUUAUAUAUGAAUUUUGUGAGAAAAAUGAUGAAUUUUGAUAUUUAUAUGAUUAAUAUUGACUUCGAUCAAUAUUUUGGAUAAACGGACCCAGAUACGUGAUUGACAGUCCCGGAGGAUCCGUAGGAAAAUAUGGGACUUGGGCAUAUGCCCGGAAUCAAAUUCCGAGGUCCCAAACCCAAGAAAUAAAUUUUUGUGUGAAAUUAUUUUCUGAAAUUAAUUAAGAAAAAUGGAAAAGAAAUUUGAUCAGAAGACUAGGGUAUCGAACUCCUAUUUUGUUUCCGAUGCCUGGUAGAAGUCUUACAUGCGAUUUAAGCACCUUUUAUAAAGUUCGGUAGAAAACAGACUUCGUUUGACGUGUUUCGGACUUGAAAUGAAAAAUUUAUGUUUUAUGAAAAUUUGGAAGAAAUUAUUGAUUUUAAGGCGUAAUUUGAUGUAUAUUAUGUUAUUUUGGGGAUUUGAUCGCACGAGUAAGUCUGUAGGAUGCUUUUGAGGUUGUUGCAUAUUUAGUUUGGUGCCCCGAUGGCUCGGGAGAGUUUUGGAUAGGCCACGAGAGAAUUUGGAAGUUAAAAACUCAGCUGAGGCACUUCAGACCUGCAGACUUCGCAUUUGCGAAGCCUGGUUCACUAAAGCGGUAUCGCAAAAGCAAACGGCCCAUCUCAAAUGGGAAAAUUGCCCAGGUCUACACAGCUUUCAAAUGCGAGAUUUUCUUCGCAAAAGUGAAGGCCGCAUAUGCAACUAAGCUGUUCGCAAACGCGAAAGUUGGUAUUUUCUGAUGGGUUCACAAUUGUAAACCCCCGUUCGUAAAUUCCAUAUAUGCAGCUUAACACUUUCACACUUAGAUGAAUUUUAAACCCCCUUUUCUUCAUUCUUUCAAAACCCAAACUCCAUAGGUGAUUUUCCAAGAAAUAUCUUCUCCAAAAAUAUAACUCAAUUUUUACUUAAUUCUUCAAUCUCUAACAUCAUUAAAAAUGUUUUCAUCUUAGAAUCAAAGAUUUUCAUGGGUGAAAAUGAGGAUAUUGGGUAGAACUUAGGUAUUCUUCAAAUUGGGGAUUUGGACAUCAAUUUGAGGUCCGAUUUCAAAACUAAUCAUAGAUAUGGAUUUGUGGGAGAAUGGGUAAUCGGAGUUUGGUCCAAACCUCGGGUUUUGACCACGUGGGCCCGGAGGCGUUUUGGAAAUUUUCAGUAAAACAUUGGAAAAUUUAUUUUAUGCAUUCAAAUUGAUUCAAUCAGCAAUUAUUGAUAUAUUCAAGUAAUUUGUGACUAGAUACGGACGGUUUUGUGGUGGAUUCGAGGGGUAAAGCUAUACUAGAGGCUUGAGUCGAGUUUGAAGCAUCAAGGUAAGUGUUUGGUCUAACUUUGGCUUGAGGGAAUAGGAGUAGAGUCUUAUUUGCUAAUUGCUAUUUGUCGAGUACGGCGUAUAGGCAUGGUGACGAGUAUCUAUACACUGGUGUCUAGCAUGACCGUGUGUCUUUAUAUUGUGAUUUAUCCUGAAUAUUUGUGAUUCUUCCAUGCUUAUUUGAUGAUUUCUAUAUACUGUAAAGAGCAUGAGAAAGAGAUUAUGAUUACUAUACUCCGUGGAGCAUUGGCUCGAGUUGUGUUACGUAUUGAGAAGGUAUAUAAUAUGAAGUAAAUCUUUGGAGCGAUGGCUCGAAUGAUAAACUGAAUUAAAAAGUGAGAAGUGUAAGAAAGAGGAAGAGUUUAUGGUUAUUCCCUUGCCGGGACAUUUUAUUGUUUUUGUUGAUUUUUCUCCCUUGCCGGGAUUUAGUUGUGCUGUGAUAUUCCAUUGCCAGGAUUUCUUUCACUAGUUGUUACCCCUUACCCCUUAUUUGUGACUGUUGUCUGGAUAAGGUUUUAUUAUAUAUAUAUGGAUCGGGUUGCAUGUCGCAACAAUGAUAAUUAUGGAUCGGGUUACACACCACAACAAUACUAUAUAUAUAUAUAUAUAUAUAUAUAUAUAUAUAUAUCGGGUUGCAUGCCGCAAAGUAUUGUUAUGUGAUUGGAUCAGGUUGCGCGCCGCAACAAAUUAUUAAUUAAGUGUGUUUAUUCCGGAUUUAAGUUUAUGUUGGUUGUUCUAUCUCUAAGUUUAGACUUCAUGUUUAUAAGAGUUUCCUCCCCACAACAUGUUCCCCCUCCCUUUAUGAAUUGCUUACUUCUUGUUUAUUUUCCACAAUAUAUAUAUAUUUCAUAACUGCACAGGUUUAUCUGGUAGUCUGGUCUAGCCUCGUUACUACUUCGCCGAUGUUAGGCUAGGUACUUACCAUCACAUGGAGUCGGUUGUGCUGAUGCUACACUCUGUGCAUCGUUUUGCAGAGAUCACGGUGCCGGAGCAGCAGCUUUUGGACAACAGUAGUAGAUUGGGAGCUGACUUCAGUCUAGAGACGCCGAGGUAGCCUUGCUGACGUCCGCAGGCCCGGAGUCUUUUCAAUCUUUAUUUCAAUUUGUUAUCUUUUGUAUCGAAACAAAAAAUUCAUGUUUUAUUCAGACAUUGGGUUUUUGCUUUUCUCUCAGUUAAUUUUAUUUAAGACUUCCGC
rnacentral:lncRNA from 1 species